CUGAGGUGGCGACCGGCGCACGGGUGAGUAACACGUAUGCAACCUGCCUGUAAGCGGGGAAUAACCCGUUGAAAGACGGACUAAUACCGCAUAAUACUAAAUUACUGCAUGGUAAUUUAUUUAAACAUUUAUGGCUUACAGAUGGGCAUGCGCAUGAUUAGCUAGUUGGAGAGGUAACGGCUCCCCAAGGCAACGAUCAUUAGGGGUUCUGAGAGGAAGGUCCCCCACACUGGUACUGAGACACGGACCAGACUCCUACGGGAGGCAGCAGUGAGGAAUAUUGGUCAAUGGACGAGAGUCUGAACCAGCCAAGUCGCGUGCAGGAAGAAUGUCCUUAAUGGAUUGUAAACUGCUUUUGCAGGGGAAUAAAGUGCAUCACGUGUGAUGUUUUGUAUGUACUCUGCGAAUAAGGAUCGGCUAACUCCGUGCCAGCAGCUGC
rnacentral:rRNA from 1 species